UUUAGAGGAACCUGCCCUGUAAACGAUGAACCACGAAUUACUCUGCUUUUUCUUGAAAUUCAGUUUGUAUACCGCUGUUGUCAGUUAGUUUCUUCAGAAAACUCUCAUUAAUGAUAAUUUCAACGACUUCAAGUAAAGGUGCAGCUUAUGAAAAAGAUAGAGGUGGGUUACAUUUAUUAGAAUAAUACGGAUAAAGUUUUGAAAUAAGCUUUUGAAGGUGGAUUUAAUUGUAAAGUUUAAUAAAACUUGAUGUGAGC
rnacentral:rRNA from 1 species